rnacentral:rRNA from 1 species
AGUGAACGCUGGCGGUAUGCCUAAUACAUGCAAGUCGAACGACCACACAGUAAGCUUUCUCCUCUACGGUUGGCGACUGGCGGGUGGGUGACACAUACAUCACCUACCUCUUUUACUGGGGUGACUUCGUGGGGCCACUGCUGCUACCGCCUAAUAUAUCAUACCGCAUAGAGCAGGGGUUCUUGGCACUUUUCCUGUCUCAUAUAGCCGAAUUCGCAUUAGCUAGUUGGCGGGGUAAAGGCCCACCAAGGCGACGAUCCGUAGCUGGUCUGAGAGGAUGAUCGGCCACACUGGAACUGAGACACGGUCCAGACUCCUACGGGAGGCAGCAGUGGGGAAUAUUGGACAAUGGGCGAAAGCCUGAUCCAGCCAUACCGCGUGGGUGAAGAAGGCCUUCGGGUUGUAAAGCCCUUUUGUUGGGAAAGAAAAGCAGCAGGUUAAUACCCCGCUGUUCUGACGGUACCCAAAGAAUAAGCACCGGCUAACUUCGUG